GACGAACCGUACGAACGUUAUUCGGAAUCACUGGGCUUAAAGGGUGCGUAGGCGGCGCAGAAAAUUGGGUGUGAAAUCCCUCGGCUCAACCGAGGAACUGCGCCCAAAACUACUGUGCUCGAGGGAGACAGAGGUGAGCGGAACUUAGGGUGGAGCGGUGAAAUGCGUUGAUAUCCUAAGGAACACCGGUGGCGAAAGCGGCUCACUGGGUCUCUUCUGACGCUGAGGCACGAAAGCUAGGGUAGCGAACGGG
rnacentral:rRNA from 1 species